AUCUAGCCAUGCCGCGUGUGUGAUGAAGGCCCUAGGGUCGUAAAGCACUUUCGCCAGAGAUGAUAAUGACAGUAUCUGGUAAAGAAACCCCGGCUAACUCCGUGCCAGCAGCCGCGGUAAUACGGAGGGGGUUAGCGUUGUUCGGAAUUACUGGGCGUAAAGCGCACGUAGGCGGAUUAAUAAGUUAGAGGUGAAAUCCCAGGGCUCAACCCUGGAACUGCCUUUAAAACUGUUAGUCUUGAGAUCGAGAGAGGUGAGUGGAAUUCCAAGUGUAGAGGUGAAAUUCGUAGAUAUUUGGAGGAACACCAGUGGCGAAGGCGGCUCACUGGCUCGAUACUGACGCUGAGGUACGAAAGUGUGGGGAGCAAACAGGAUUAGAUACCCUGGUAGUCCACACCGUAAACGAUGAAUGCCAGACGUCAGCAAGCAUGCUUGUUGGUGUCACACCUAACGGAUUAAGCAUUCCGCCUGGGGAGUACGGUCGCAAGAUUAAAACUCAAAGGAAUUGACGGGGGCCCGCACAAGCGGUGGAGCAUGUGGUUUAAUUCGACGCAACGCGCAGAACCUUACCAACCCUUGACAUACUUGUCGCGGAUUCCAGAGAUGGAUUCCUUCAGUUCGGCUGGACAAUGUACAGGUGCUGCAUGGCUGUCGUCAGCUCGUGUCGUGAGAUGUUCGGUUAAGUCCGCCAACGAGCGCAACCCACGUCCUUAGUUACCAGCAUUUAGUUGGGUACCCUAAGGAGACUGCCGGUGAUAAGCCGGAGGAAGGUGUGGACGACGUCAAGUCAUCAUGGCCCUUACGGGUUGGGCUACACACGUGCUACAAUGGCAUCUACAGUGAGUUAAUCUCCAAAAGAUGUCUCAGUUCG
rnacentral:rRNA from 1 species